CCCCAGAACUAACGGAACUACAUUUCCCAGAAAGUCUUGCGCGGGGGCGGAGGCGGCAGGGAUGCGAUGGCGGAGUCGCUGCCCCUGGAGAUGCUCACGUAUAUUCUGAGCUUCCUUCCUCUGUCAGAUCAGAAAGAGGCCUCUCUCGUGAGUCGGGCUUGGUACUGUGCAGCCCAGAAUGCCCUUCGGGAGACAAAUGUGCGGUACAACAUCCCAGUGUCUUCUGCCUCCCUUUUGGCCAUCAAGAGUUUGGGCCUCAGGGGCAUCUCCUGCAUCAGCCUGACCAACCUGGAUGGCUCACCAACCUCGCACCUGGUGCUGCAGUCUGUUGCCUACCACCUAGGCCCACACCUGCAGAGCUUGUGCCUGGGUGGGGGCAGUCCCACCGAGGCUUCCUUUGUGGCCCUGGUCCUGGGAUGCCCAGCUCUGCGCACCCUUGACCUCAGUGGCUGCAACAGCCUCUUCACAUCAGGCACACUAUUGGCUCAGCCAGAGAUGGCCCAGCGUGUCCGGCAGGCAUUGAGUGGCCUGCGCGAGCUCAAGCUGGCUUGCCUGCGGAACCUGGCCGAUCUCAGCUUCAACCAGCUCAGCAGCUGUGUCCCCAGCCUGGAGCGCCUCUCCUUGGCCUAUUGCCACCUCAAUUUUGAGCUGAGCCCAGCUCAGGGUUCCAUCAACCCCCAAGACUACUCUCCCUCCCAACUCUCCUUUCAUAACCUGCUGCGAUUUGUGAAAGAGCGAGCUGGCAAAUUGCGUGCCCUAGAUCUGAGUGGCACUGGCUUACCACCUGAGGCCCUACAUUCCCUGGGCCAGGUAGCUGGGCUGCAGCUUCAGGAGCUGAGCCUGCACAGCUGCCGGGACCUUUCCACAGAGGCUGUGGCCACCCUGUGCCGCCAGCAACCAGGUCUUAUCUCCCUGGACCUCAGUGGCUGCUCAGAACUGACUGAUGGGGCACUCUUGGCCGUGAGCCGUGGCCUGCAGCACCUGCAGCACCUCAGCCUGGGAAAGCUGCAACGGCUGACAGAUGCAGGGUGUACAGCCCUAGGGGACCUGCGAGAGUUGCAGAGCCUGGAUAUGACUGAGUGCUGCCUGGUGAGCGGGCGGGAACUGGCCCAGGCCCUGGGCUCGGUGAGUGGAGCUCCACCCCCACUGACCUCCCUCAGGCUGGCAUACUGCUCUUCGCUGAAGGAUGCCUCAAUGCUUUCUCUGAUCCCAGCACUGGGCCCAAGCCUUAGAGUGCUAGACUUGUCCUCCUGUGUGGCCCUCUCCAAUCGGACCCUGCAGGCCAUCUGCACCUACCACACCCACCUCUCUGUUCUGCGCCUGGCUUGGUGCAAGGAGCUCCGUGAUUGGGGGCUUCUGGGGCUGGAAGAAUCAAGUGAAAAGUCUGCAAUGUGUCCCCAGCUAUGCCCAGAGCUGGAGUAUCAGGCCUCAGGUCCUGAGGAUGCUUCUCCCAAGCCACAGAGUUCAUCCCUGCUCACACUGCAGGCCCUGCAGGAGUUGGACCUGACAGCCUGCAGCAAGCUGACUGAUGCCAGUUUGGCCAAGGUACUGCAGUUCCCCCAGCUGAGGCAGUUGUCACUGAGCCUAUUGCCAGCACUCACAGACAUGGGCUUGGUGGCAGUGGCCAGAGGCUGCCCCAGCUUGGAACACUUGGUGCUGAGUCAUUGCAGCCACAUCAGCGAUGAGGGCUGGGCCCAGGCAGCAGGGUACUGGCCAAGGCUGCAGCACCUCAACCUGUCCAGCUGCAGUCAACUCACAGAGCAAACUCUGGAUACCAUUAGGCAAGCAUGCAAGCAGAUCCGGGUAUUGGACGUGGCCAUGUGCCCGGGUAUCAACGUGGCAGCUGUCAGGCGCUUCCAAGCUCAGCUGCCUCAGGUGACUUGUGUCCAGUCCUGCUUCGUGGGAGGGGCUGACCUGACCCUAACACUCUGAGGCCAGGUCAGUAACCAUCCCUGUAACACAGCCUUCUUCAUCCCCAUAGUCCUAACCUGGGCUCCUGGACCUCGAUUAUGCCCCAGUGCCUCUUACCUCCUUUUGCUAUAGACUUCCUAUCUAGGUGUGGUGAUGGGACCAACCCAGGGCAUCCCAAGAGACUUCCUGCCCCACAGUCAAGCAGCAGUGGCUUUCCAACUACAUUUCACUUUCCUUGGGCCCAUGGGAAUGCCAGCUACAUGUUGCUGCCACAGGGUUCUGUUGUCCCUGCCAGGAGGCCAGCCCACAGGCAGACUGAGCAUGGAGCUGGGGAGCAGCUCCCCACAGGCAGAAGGGAUUUUGAGGUUCCACAAGGACAGAGGGUGCACGUGUACCUUCUGCUCCCUCCCCGAUUUCUCAGACCUAGAGCAUGUGCUCCACCUGCUCCCUAGGCAUAUUUUUCCAGUACCUAUAAGCACUGCAGCAGCCAAGCCACCAACUUUGCUGUAAAUCCAAACAAGAUUAAAAACUUAAGAUUUUACUUCUUGCCUGAAGUUUUCAGAUGAAAGGGCCCUUUCCCUCCCUACUCAGUUGACCCAAAGCCUUACAGACACCCUUUUAGUGACCUCAAGGCUGAUCCAUACUGGCUGAACUCAACCAGGUCCUAGCUUCUUCCCUACCUGGUAGGAAAGUCCAGAGGCCUAAAGGCUUUUCCCAGCACAACCUUCUUAGGUUUGCCUUAAAGCAAACGCAUUGUGCCAGGCCAAGCCCUUGGAGCAAUUGAUGAUGAUGCCUGAUUCAGUGAGGCCAUCUUGAAAAGUGGUGGAAAGAAGGGAAAGAAAUAGGACAGCAUCUCUGAAUUAAAGGUCAUCUAGUUUAACCACCUAAAUAGUACCAGUGACUUCUCAACAGCAGCUCUGAAAAACAUCUGUCAAGCUGACCCUCCAUGUGUCCCCAUACUUUGUCCAUCUAUCUUCUUAUCAGUUCUAGGAGCAGCUGGCAAAUGCUCUUCAAAUGCCUACAGGCAAAUGCCUACAGGCAUUGUGCUUCAUGUGGGUUUUCAGAGAUGCCAAAGCUCUCCCAGUGCCCAGGCCUUAGGGAGGCAAAAAGCCAACAUGGACAGUCCAGUGUACAGGGUAUGUAUAAACAGAGAAAGAAGCACCUGGAACCACAAGCCUAGGGAAGCAAUGAACUUGACCUGGAGGGUCAAGGAAAGAAUCAAGACAGAAAUGGGCAGAAGGGACUUUGAGGUUCCACAAUGACAGAGAGUACACAUAGGCCCUGAUGGUGUUCAGGGAAAAUGUCAGCUUGGACCAAGCUCCAAGAACCCUGCAGGCCACAAGCAUUCAUUUGGAAGGGCUAAAAACUACCUAAAAACUACAUAUUAGUGCCCACUCUUGACUAUUAGCCCACGAAUAAUAGAGAAACACUGAAGAAUAUAAAGUGUGUGCACCUGUGUGUGUGUGUGUGUGUGUGUGUUCAAAUCUGAUUCAAGAAAACAUCUGUAGUAGCAGGUAUUGAGAAGACUGAAAGAACAAGACUAGAGGCUGGUAGUCAGUAGGUUAUUGCCUGAUGGUGGCAUGGACAAGGGAGUAGAAACAUUGAGAAAGAAGAAUUGGCAGUAUUGGAAGACUAACCACAUCUGGAAUCCCUGUCCUCCCAUUUCCAACUUGAACUCAAGAGCAAACUGUUUUAAGCAUGGUGGAAAUCUCUGAAUCUAGGCAUGGGCAUCCUGGCUACCCAAGGAUCAAAAGUGUAACUUAGGGGGGCAAAUGUUCCCCCAGCAUGUUCUCCAUAGGAGAUGCCAUUUCAUCUGCUUUCAAGGUGAAACACUGAUGGUUAACACUGUUAAACACAAUCUUUGAGGAGACACUGGGAAGGAGAAAUAAUGAGUGGCAUGGAGAAGGAAGUCAGGAUGGUGGUAGCUUUCAGCCUGCCCUGUGGGUCCCAUGGGCUGCUAUGCUCUACUCUGCCUCAGUGGCUUGGAGGCUGUGGCCACAGACUCCAGCUGGGCCCAACACACUUUGCCUCAUCUGCCCAACAUCUCUCACCUACAUACAGCCCCCAUGUCACUCAUGCUCCUAAGUUAUGUUUUCAUCAGAACUGUGCAGUGCUUCCUGCACAGAGUUCCCUCUUGUCCAGAUCAGCCCAUAUACUCCCUCAAGCCUGGGGAUGCCCUUUGGAAUCUGAGCUUGUCCUUCAGCAGAAAGCAGGCCCAGUUUUACAUCUGUCCCUUUACUACCUGUCACCAGAGGCCUCCAGGUGCCACAAAGAACAUGGGCCAGAGCCAAGCAGGGAUGAAGACUGAGGUAAGAUUGUCAGGAGCUUUCUGGAAGCAGAGCUUCUAGACUAGGGUCCUAUUAAUGCUUUCCAGGAAACAUCCAUUUAGGGCAUUGUCUCCUGGCCUGCUACUUCUCUCAGCUAGCUGGUGAUCCUAGACAACAAGCUACUCUCUUUGCAGGCCCACACUCAUCUGGGAGAAGGGCAACAGCCCCAACCUAUCCAAACCCCCUAAAUGUAGCUGCUCAAGUUUGCAGUCCUACCUUGUUGUCGUAUCUCAUUCACUAAAUUUGAAGUCAGAGGAUGACUCUCGUGGUUUAGCCUACAAGGUUCAGAGCUAGCUUGACACACACCUAAGAGCCAAGCUGACUUUAUUUUUGCCCAUGCUUCUCUACCCUCCACCCCUUGUGGCUGGCACGGGUGGCAGCUGUGGCCCCUGGCCAGCUUGUCAAGAUUCAAUAAUGCUGCAGUCAUAGCAGAAAUUGAAGUUGGUGGGGGGUGGAGGCACAGGUGGUGGCUGCUCCGGGAUGGGCACAUUCUCUAGCUCCAACAAUCGCAGCUUGGUCUCCAUUGUCAACAGCUGCUCCAGGUCCAGCCGGGUCUGCUCACUGCCCAUAGGGCUGCCUAGCAGGGCAUUCAGCCCAUCUGUCCACAGAUAGUACUGGGGACGAUGGGGCCAGCUUCAUGAGAGACUGUUCAAUCUGCUCCCCUACCCGUCUGCUCCACUCAGCCUCACCCAGACACUCACAUCAUGUUUGGAGGGGGCAAUGAAGUUGAGGUAUGCCUCCUCCUCCCCGCGGUCAUAGCUGAUGGAGAAAGCCAGCUCAUAAAGAUCCUAGGGAAGCAGAAAGCAGGGACAUUGAGCAUGGACUAGCGCAGGCAGGCAAGAGGAAGCCACUGGUCCCACUAUAUAUACCUUGUUCUGCUUCCCAGAGCCCUUCUCCCGGACAUGGGGGCAGUCCUUGCCUGUCAGGAGUGCCCUGAUGUCAACAACAGGGACUGCAAGAAGAAAUACUGGGCUGAUCACUGGGGCCCCAGACAGCCCCAGGGCAUGGGGCAUCUGGAGAGAGCAGCACACUCAGAGACCCUGGCGCCUCCUGCUGCUGAUCUUGCGGAAGAGAGUCCCCUCGCAGAGGCGGAGCAAACGCUGCUGGCGGAUCAAGCUCAUGAGCUCUGGCUUCAGCUUCUCCCUCAGCUCUCUGGGUGGGAAGUGGGGAGUCACAGAUCAGGAUUGACCUAGGGCACCUUAGUAGGUGGGAGCUGGCACUGGAAAGCCAUUCCUACCAACUCACAGUAUGGGAGGGGCCAGUGUGCCCUCCUGGUGCAGUCGCUCUGUCUGCCUCAGCCGCAGCACCUCCCCGUAGGUGAGUGCGUUCACCUUGGUACGGAAGAGCUCCAGGGACGUAGGCUUCAGGGCCAGUGUACGAGCCAGCUGUUCCCGUACCACCUGCAUAACCUGGGGCCACCCUAAGCUCAGCUUGGGACCUGAGCUCUGGGGCCCUCCUCAGAGCAAUCUCCUUCGUUGACCUCCCAGUCCUCCCACCCCACCCCACCGACCUUGUCAAAAUCUUCCUGUGUUGCCCUCAUCUCUUUCCAGGUCUUAUUUAGCAGCUGGAUGGCCACACAGAAAAACUCAUGAAAACUCUGGUCCUGUCCGAAGAACAUGGGCGAGAAGUCCUGGGCUGUCUCGGAGCCUGGAGCGGGGGGGCAGGAGGGGCUCAGGGAGAAGGUGUGUGCAGCCCCUGGCCCUCUCUGCCCUUCCGUCCCCUGUCCCCAGAUACACUGCCCAGCUCCACUCACAAGGUUCCCCAACACGGAGCAGCUCACACAGUAGCACAGUCAGCUGGAUGCUGCUCCGGGCAAAGGGACACUCAUGUUUGUCCUCCCGGCUGCUGUUUUCCAACACGAACUGCGGUAGUGGGAGCAGAGAAUGGGGACAGUCUUGGCUAAGCCCACAGGGAUCCUGCCAAGGUGAGGCUACUGCCAUCCCCACUCCCCUACCCAGUAACUGACCCGGCUGUAUGCACUGGGUGCAUGUCUGGAGAAGUACAGCAUGUUGUCCAGGGCCAGCAAGCCUGGGGGCACACGUUCCAGGUCCUGCGCAGGGUUGCUGUUCUACGGGUGGGAGCACAUGCACUCAGAAAGGGCCAUAGCCUCUGGUAUAGUCAUAGCCUGAAUGGAGGCCAAGGUGGGGACUUGGGGUAGGGGUCACUCACAGAGAAGCCCAAUUUGCGAAAUUCUCGGGCACAGAGUGAACGUCGACGGUCAGCACUCAGCCCCGUGCUCAAGGACUCCCCUUCCAGUUCAAAGGCAGCCUGGCGCAGGGCCUGCAGCUGUUCCCGCUGCUCCUGGGGUCAUUAUUGGGGGGAACAAUAUCAUAGAUUUAAGGUCAAGCUUCAAGCUAUCCCCAAGCUUCAAGCUGUGCCCCACCCAUCUCCAAGACACACCUGGCUAUAGGGGUCAAGUGGUGUCCGCAUGCGUGGCUCUAGCAGCCCCAGUGUAAGGGCCUGCAGCACAUACAAGUGAUGGGCCAUCUCAUCACCCAGUGGUGUUGCACUAUGGAUGAUGUUCUGGAGGAAAGACAGACAAAGGGUUUGAGGUGGGCUUACUGGGAGAAGAGGCUGGGGAGGGGUUUCCCUAGUUUCCUACCUUGUAGAUGAACUGGCGAAGGUUUCUCUGCCAUAGGUAGUCAAGCAUGUGCUGAGGCGGAUGGGAAGGGGAAUUAAAUGAUUUAAUACUGGGGUGGAGCACAAUGCCCACCAGCUGAUCCUUCCAAGCUGCUACUAUAUAGAUAGAUACCUUCCUUUCUGUAGGGUUGGCUCCCUGCAGCAAGGCUGUAAGCAGGGCCAUUGCCUUGGUUUGCAGCUGCUGGUUCAUCCUAUAGCAGGAGGAGGGGUGGGCUCAGCUUAACACCCAGGAUCUCAUCCUGCUCCCCCAUCUAUAUCUCACCCCAGAGCUUACACCUGCAGGUGCACCAGUAGCCUAUCCAGUGGCACCUCACUCUUGACCAGCUGGCCCAGGGCAGGGCUGCUCAAGGUCACACUCUCCAGCAGCCGAAGGGCCAGGGGCUGCACAGAAGCAUCCAUCAGGUUCAUGUUCACAUAGCAUACCACCUGUAAGAGGGGUAGGGUAUUGUCGCCACCUGACCACCACAAGGGGCAGACCCUGGCACUGCCCAACUGCCCUACCCACAUCCCCUAGAAAAGCCCACCCACCUUCCUGACAAAAGGGAUGCUGAGCGUCUCCCAGGACACCACACCAUGCUCCAUAAGCUCCAGGAAGGCCUUCAGCCCGAGGGCUAGCACCUCUCCUAGGCUGGGGUAGGGGGCACAUUUGGGGCUGAGCAGGACCAGACCAGGCCCCCUAAGCCCUAUCAUGUCUCCAUCCCUCCACAGCCCUGUGCUCACUCGUCCCCAUCCUCAAUGAUGGUGCCUAGUCUCUGAAGCCCAUCACGGCUGAUGACCUCCUGGGCAAAGGUCAUGUCUGUGGCCAGCAGAACCAGGUGCCUCAGGGCUUCCUGGCGCACUUCUCGACUUGGACUCUGCAGCCCACCCAACAGCUUCUCAGCCUCAAGGUCCUGGCAGGAGUGGGAAGAGAGAAGAGGUGGAGUUUGGAAAAUUAAGGACUGGAAGAGUGGGAACCCAGAUUUCCACUAGGUGGGGCACUGCUGAGCUGGGGCCAGACCUAGGGCAGAGGCCACCAGGCACUUUAAAGGAGUGCAGUAGAGAGGCAGGCAAGAGAAGAUGGGGCCAAGAGGGGCAUUACUGGGGCAGUACUGAGGCACAGGAUGCUGCCAUUCUUGAUCUCUCCGCGGUUCUGCAGAAAACAGCAGAAAGGGGAAGCACAGUCAAGGAGAGUUCUGAGGGUGAUCAACUGGGUUGUCAGGAUUAGGGGAUCAGUGAAAUUCACUUUAGGAGAGGGGGAGGAUGAGUCUGCAGAAUCAGGGCCAGGUGGGUUAGAGAGGUCAUAGGGUGGAGCAAGGGGGCUGGGGAACAGGGGGACUAACAUUCUCAGUGAUGUAUCUCCUGUGCCCAUCAGCAAACUGCAGGGCGUACUGCUCCGAGUGAGUCAGGCUCCACCUGCGGGUCACAGAGCUCAGGGAGGCAGGUUGGAGGCUUCCUCCCGCUUACCCCUCCCCCACCCCUUGCCGGCCCACCGGGACUCACGCGUCGCACACCUCCUUCAACACAGCGGCCAGGGGUUUUGCCUGCAAGUGGAGCUGUCAUUCACGUGGUGGGAGUGGGGAGGAGUUGGGGGAUGGGGGGCUGAAUAAGGAGGGCUGAGCUGACCCGAGGGAAAUGGGUGACCCCAGAGGUGGGCAGUGGGCAGGAGGCCGGACAGGCCGGAUGACCUGGUCCAGUUGGAUGAGCUGUGGGAUGGCGUCACGCAUCUGGACAGCAAUCUUCACCACAUUCCGUGGGGGCGCCAUGGUCCAACCCAGCCGUGGGUGCCUGCACUUUCCACGAAAUGUGCCACCUCCUGCUGAGGGCGCACCUGCCCCGGAGUCCCUGAGGACGAGUAGGGCGUCCCUCUGUCCGCGACCUGGCUCCGGUGGCACGUACUCACCGACCAGGCCCCCACUCCUGGCCAGAAGCCGCGGCCUUCCCAAGGGAGCCAAGGCUAGUUCCGGGUUGGAGUCCGGGGGCAGGAGGGUAGGCCAGCGCCCGCCCAGCCUGCCUGCCCCAGCAAGACAGCCCCGCCCCACGCCAAGGUGUGGCAGGUGGGGGCGGGGAGGGCAGGCUGCCUGCUGCUGCUCCACUUCCCAUUCCAGCAAAGUGACCCAACGCAAUCCUGCCACCAAUCCAACGUAGUCCCAGAGAGGGGCCCAAAAAAAUCAGAUCAGAGAUAGCCUUAGGCAUGGUCUUUAUUCAUUUGGACACUGUACAAAUAUUACAAUUUCCUUUUGCUGCAAAAAGUAUAAAAAUAAUCUUUAUAUAGGAA